GAAAGAUGGCAAUAUUCUAUUGUGGCAGUUUUCCACAGAAUUAGAAAAGAAGUCAAUAUCUUUUGUUAGCAUCUAUAUUUUCAACGGACAAAUUUGAGGCUAACACUUCUGAUUUUUUUGUACAUCCUUUGAGUUCAGAAACUUAAGAAACAUUUAAGUAAGUGUCUACUUUUUUUGUUGUUGCUCAAAGGGCCACUUUAGUCUCAAGAUUUGUUCUAUUACUCAGUUCAUAGAAAUUCUUCAACAAAUUAUUAAUUCAGUCACAAUUAUCACUUCUCAUCCCACAAUUCAAUAACCUCAUUAUAUAUAUAUAUAAAAUAUUAUAUAUACAUAUAUACAAUUUUUUUCCUUGUUUUUACUAAGACUUUUGCUAAUGGUUACUGGAUCUGCUCAAUGUGUUCUCCACAGCUUCUCACUUUUAUCUCACUUCUUGGGUCCCCAUUUUUCUAUAUUCUGGGAGAUUUCUUUGACUCUUUCUUGCACAAUGCUAAUUC
rnacentral:lncRNA from 10 species